UGGUGGCGAGUGGCGAACGGGUGAGUAAUGCAUCGGAACGUGCCCAUGUCGUGGGGGAUAACGUAGCGAAAGCUACGCUAAUACCGCAUACGCCCUGAGGGGGAAAGCGGGGGAUUCUUCGGAACCUCGCGCGAUUGGAGCGGCCGAUGUCGGAUUAGCUAGUAGGUGAGGUAAAGGCUCACCUAGGCGACGAUCCGUAGCGGGUCUGAGAGGAUGAUCCGCCACACUGGGACUGAGACAUGGCCCAGACUCCUACGGGAGGCAGCAGUGGGGAAUUUUGGACAAUGGGGGCAACCCUGAUCCAGCCAUGCCGCGUGAGUGAAGAGGGCCUUCGGGUUGUAAAGCUCUUUCGGCCGGGAAGAAAUCGGCGACUCUAACAUAGUCGCUGGAUGACGGUACCGGACUAAGAAGCACCGGCUAACUACGUGCCAGCAGCCGCGGUAAUACGUAGGGUGCGAGCGUUAAUCGGAAUUACUGGGCGUAAAGCGUGCGCAGGCGGUUUUGUAAGACAGAUGUGAAAUCCCCGGGCUUAACCUGGGAACUGCGUUUGUGACUGCAAGGCUAGAGUACGGCAGAGGGGGGUGGAAUUCCACGUGUAGCAGUGAAAUGCGUAGAGAUGUGGAGGAACACCGAUGGCGAAGGCAGCCCCCUGGGCCUGUACUGACGCUCAUGCACGAAAGCGUGGGGAGCAAACAGGAUUAGAUACCCUGGUAGUCCACGCCCUAAACGAUGUCGACUAGUCGUUCGGAGCAGCAAUGCACUGAGUGACGCAGCUAACGCGUGAAGUCGACCGCCUGGGGA
rnacentral:rRNA from 1 species